rnacentral:rRNA from 1 species
CCUACGGGGGGCAGCAGUGAGGAACAUUGGUCAAUGGCCGCAGGGCUGAACCAGCCAAGUCGCGUGAGUGAUGACGGUCCUAUGGAUUGUAAACCUCUUUUGUCAGGGAGCAAAGGGCGCCACGUGUGGCGCUUUGCGAGUACCUGACGAAAAAGCAUCGGCUAACUCCGUGCCAGCAGCCGCGGUAAUACGGAGGAUGCGAGCGUUAUCCGGAUUUAUUGGGUUUAAAGGGUGCGCAGGCGGAAUGUCAAGUCAGCGGUAAAAUUUCGGGGCUCAACCCCGUCGUGCCGUUGAAACUGGCGUUCUUGAGUGAGCGAGAAGUAUGCGGAAUGCGUGGUGUAGCGGUGAAAUGCAUAGAUAUCACGCAGAACUCCGAUUGCGAAGGCAGCAUACCGGCGCUCAACUGACGCUCAUGCACGAAAGCGUGGGUAUCGAACAGGAUUAGAUACCCUUGUAGUC